rnacentral:rRNA from 1 species
GAAUCACUCCGUGGUGAUCGCCCUCCCGAAGGUUAGGCUAACCACUUCUGGAGCAACCCACUCCCAUGGUGUGACGGGCGGUGUGUACAAGGCCCGGGAACGUAUUCACCGAGACAUUCUGAUUCACGAUUACUAGCGAUUCCGACUUCACGCAGUCGAGUUGCAGACUGCGAUCCGGACUACGAAACGUUUUAUGGGAUUCGCUUACUCUCGCGAGGUCGCUGCCCUUUGUGCGUUCCAUUGUAGCACGUGUGUAGCCCAGGCCGUAAGGGCCAUGAUGACUUGACGUCGUCCCCACCCUCCUCCGGUUUGUCACCGGCAGUCUCCUUAGAGUUCCCACCAUUACGUGCUGGCAACUAAGGACAAGGGUUGCGCUCGUUACGGGACUUAACCCAACAUCUCACGACACGAGCUGACGACAGCCAUGCAGCACCUGUCACCUUGAUUCCCGAAGGCACUCCCGUAUCUCUACAGGAUUCCAAGGAUGUCAAGGCCUGGUAAGGUUCUUCGCGUUGCAUCGAAUUAAACCACAUGCUCCACCCCUUGUGCGGGCCCCCGUCAAUUCAUUUGAGUUUUAACCUUG